rnacentral:tRNA from 1 species
CCUAUUUCAGGGAUAUUAUUAAUUUAGAUUCUAAAAAG